rnacentral:rRNA from 1 species
UACGUAGGGGGCAAGCGUUAUCCGGAUUUACUGGGUGUAAAGGGAGCGUAGGCGGUGAUGCAAGUCAGAAGUGAAAGCCCGCAGCUCAACUGCGGGACUGCUUUUGAAACUGUAUGACUAGAUUGCAGGAGAGGUAAGUGGAAUUCCUAGUGUAGCGGCGAAAUGCGUAGAUAUUAGGAGGAACACCAGUGGCGAAGGCGGCUUACUGGACUGUAAAUGACGCUGAGGCUCGAAAGCGUGGGGAGCAAACAGG